rnacentral:hammerhead_ribozyme from 1 species
AUCCAGCUGACGAGUCCCUAGUAGGACGAAACGCGCGUCAAAGCGGAU